rnacentral:rRNA from 1 species
AUUGAACGCUGGCGGCAUGCCUUACACAUGCAAGUCGAACGGCAGGCACGGGGGCAACCCUGGUGGCGAGUGGCGAACGGGUGAGUAAUACAUCGGAACGUGCCCGGUAGUGGGGGAUAGCGUCGGCGAAAGCCGGAUUAAUACCGCAUACGACCUGCGGGUGAAAGCGGGGAGUCGCAAGACCUCGCGCUAUCGGAGCGGCCCGAUGUCAGAUUAGGUUGUUGGUGGGGUAAAGGCCACCAAGCCGACGAUCUGUAGCU